ensembl:misc_RNA Y_RNA Y RNA
AACUGGUCUGAAAAUAGUGAGUUAUCUCAAUUCAUUGUUCCCUGUCAAUUACAGAUCCAGCUCCUUGUUCUACUCUUUGCCCCUUCUUACUGCUACACUUGAAUAAUCUAAA